rnacentral:rRNA from 1 species
GACGAACGCUGGCGGCGCGCUUAACACAUGCAAGUCGAGCGAAGCGGCGGACGGGUGAGUAACACGUGAGUAACCUGCCUUAGACAUUGGGAUAGCCUCGGGAAACCGGGAUUAAUACCAAAUGGUCUAAGAUGGACUCGCGUCCCAUUAGCUAGUUGGUGGGUAACGGCCCACCAAGGCGACGAGGGGUAGCCGGACUGAGAGGGUGACCGGCCACAUGGGAACUGAGAAACGGUCCAAACUCUACGGGAGGCAGCAGUUGGGGAUAUUGCACAAUGGGCGCAAGCCUGAUGCAGCGACGCCGCGUGAGGGAUGAAGGCUUUCGGGUUGUAAACCUCUUUCGGUACAGAACGGGUAUGUGCAGAAGAAGCGCCGGCUAACUACGUGCCAGCAGCCGCGGUAAUUC